GGGCUUGUGAGGUAGCACGGAUCAUCCCCUCGGCCUUCGGAGCCGAAAACCCGGGUUCGAAUCCCGGCAGGCCCC
rnacentral:tRNA from 1 species